CGACCCCAGGUCAGGCGGGAUUCA
rnacentral:rRNA from 2 species